rnacentral:rRNA from 1 species
UACAGAGGGUGCAAGCGUUAAUCGGAAUUACUGGGCGUAAAGCGUGCGUAGUCGGUUACAUAAGUCGGGUGUGAAAGCCCCGGGCUCAACCUGGGAAUUGCAUUCGAGACUGCGUAGCUAGGGUGCGGAAGAGGGAAGCGGAAUUUCCGGUGUAGCGGUGAAAUGCGUAGAUAUCGGAAGGAACACCAGUGGCGAAAGCGGCUUCCUGGUCCAGCACCGACGUUCAGGCACGAAAGCGUGGGGAGCAAACAGG